UUACGGAGGAAAUAAUAAUAAUAAAAAUAUUUGCCUUGGAAAAAUACCCAGAGCUUUAUGACAAAGGUCAUUGCAAUUAUAUAGAUUCAGAGAUGAAAGCUCCUACACAGAAGUCCAUUUUGAGGAACUGGAUAUGCCCGGAGAGGACAAUUUUGAAGUGGAUGAAUCAGGCCCGCCUAAUGGUACAAGCAUGUGACUGUUCCAGUGGAGAGAAAAGAAAGAGAAUUGGGGAGAGCUUGAAGGGCCCUGCUUUAGAAGUCAUUCAAGCCAUGAGGGCUGCCAACCCUGAUGCCAGCCCGAUGGAUUACUUGGAAGCGCUUGACAACACGUUUGGAGCCCCUGAAUCGGGGGAGGAUCUUUUAUUUUCCGUUCCGAACAUUGCGACAGCGGCCUGGAGAAAAACUGUCUGAUUUUCUGAGAAGGAUUUUUCUGAGCGGUCAGCAGUUUCUUAAAGUAAAAGGUUUCUAGAGGCCUAAAGGUAGAAAUACUUAAAAAAUAAUAUACACUCCUUUCUUUGUAAAUAUGGACAAUUGCCAAACUACUACUGCACCCAAACUCCAGGGCAUUACUAUUGAACUAGAUUUCUCAACAGGAGUGCUGCCACCCAUACAGACUUUGAUGUAGCAAAAAUUUUAUUGUGUUAAAAUUAUACAAGACUGAGGGCAUUCUUUGAUUUUAGGACACCAAGAUUCACCAUCUUUGGUUUUCUUGGGGUCAGUAGCUUGCACAGACUGAAGCAACAUCUUCAUAUUUUUUUUUUUUUCUAAACACCCUGAAAUGAAAUGCACCAUCUUUCUUGGGAACUUAGGGCAGCUCUAAGAGAGGCGAGGGUGGACCCAAAACCAAAUUAGUAAAAACCACUCAAGUACAAAACCACUCAAGCACGAUCCUAUCUGACCUUUUACAGACAUUGCAACUCAGUGGUGGUAUUCAAAUCCAUUACUGUUUAAAUCCAUUGUGUAAAACUGAAUAAACCUUAAGUUUGGAAGCCACCUGCUGAUCUUUCAUCUGUCACCGGAGCUCUGUAACCUGCAGUAAAGCUCUUCACUCAGUUUGUCACGGAUGCUUGCUGCGUCUAUCUCCACACAUGAUGUCCCUACAUGCUGUGCUGCUCUGCAGGCUAUUGUUACUGGCAAAAAGUGAGAUCACGCCACAUUGACCACGUGGGUGGAGUUUAGAGAAGAGCGGUAGGUCAAGUGUGUUUGGAAAACUACAGUACUGUAGCUUGUUUAAGCCAGGAAGUAUCAACAAAGGAAGUCCUUCAACCAAUGUGUUUUGACAAAUGUCACAGAGGUUCUGGCCCUUGCAUAGAAAAUUGAACUGGAAAAGUACAUUGUACAAAGACUGCUUACCAUAACAGGGACAAGUAACAUCAAAUCCAGCAAUAGGAUGGUUGUAAAUAAGUCAGACGGAACAUCAAAGGCAGAGAAUCUGGGCAGCAGAAUGGGUAACAGCUGUACAAGAUGGUCACCGGUGCCCAAGGGCAGCAUCAAGAUGGAGAGAGGAAUUUGUAAGCAUCUGGAGGUUAACAAAGGCUAUGGAUAGUAGAUGUGCAGAUAUUUCAAAUGUAACAUUUUAACAAAUGUAAGAGUAACAUAAAAAUGUAUUUUAUAAUGAAUAGCUUAAUUACAACACCUGACUGCCAAACAUUCAUGCUGUACUCUCAUUACAAUUAAAUGUAAACAGUAACAACGUUGAACAGGCAAAGAUGGUGAUAAUGGUGAAGAUAACAUUUGAGAUGUUUUUAAAAAUGUUUCUGUUAUUAAAGAAAAACUUGGGAAUGAAAAAUACUAGAUAGCUUAACUAAUGUCGAGCAGUUCUGGUGUGUGAGUAUAUAAAACCUGCUUAAACACACAGCUGAACAUUCUGCCUAAGAAAAAAAAGGGGGCUGCUCCAGUGUCAUUUCAUCAGUUUUCAACUGUUCUCAUGCUGUCCUGCACCCAAUAAAGGGAACAGACCCUGCAGCAUGCAGAGUGUCACACACUUUAGUCAAACAGCAACAACAAGGAGAUUCACGUACCAGUGAUAAAACUGGAGUUAAGACUGGAGGUGUGCUAUUAUAGUAUCAAUCCUCCAGACGUUAUUCCUUUCUUCCACUGUUAUUCACAAACAUCCUAUCUGUAUUUUUUUCUGUGGUGUUUGACCAGCUCAAAUGAAUAAUUAAUUUAUGUUAAUACCACCCUUUUUUUACCAUGAUAGUGGGACUCUUACAUUAUUAUCUCCUUGAAAUAAAUACCUCUAGUACAGCUGGCUGUAGCCACAUUAUGAUAAUAUAGUUUUGCAUUUAAAAAAACAAAAAAUGGCUCAACAAAUGGGACAUUUUAACAUUCAUGUUUCAAUAUAAGUUUGCUACAUGAGUUACUUCUAAUGAUUUUUUUUUCUGUUAGAAUUGUAUUUCUGUUAUUUUCAAGCAUCAGUGAAGUGAAAUGUAUUAUUAAACGCUGUGUUUGGUUUUCUGUGACUAAUCAUUUGUUCAGUGAGCUCUUUUUUCCUUAUAUGUUAAUGCACAGAGAAAGUGUAUGUCUGAGAUAUCAGCAUUCAAACAAUCCCUGUGUAAAGUGAUUACAAUUUCACACUGCAAUUAAUACUUUUUGUGUUUGUACUAUCUGGGAAAAUAGAGAGUUGGUAAAAGCUGGAUGAAGACAAAACUGCCCGGGCAGGGCACUAAAAUAAUGUGAACCAUCUCUAUACAUAUUAAAAAUAAUUAUCAUUAUA